UCUAUUAUAUUGUAUGUGUGUGUGUACACACACACAUAUGGGUACAUUCAUCAAAAUUAACAAAAAAAAAUUAUUGUACCAAAACAUGGAUACAUUCUUCAAAACACACACAAAAAAAAAGAAGAAGAUAUUAGGCUUAAUAACAUUAGUAAAUUUCUUUGAUUAAACUUGGCAUACCCAACCAACCAACAUGCGGACCAUUUAGAUACUUUAUGGUGUUGGUUGAUGCAUCGACAAGAUGGUCACAUGUUUGCUUGUUGUCCACACGCAAUGCCGCAUUUGCUAAAACUCCUAACUCAAUCAUUAAGCUAAGGGCUCACCAUCCUAAUUAUCCGAUUAAGUUAAUUCGAUUGGAACGCUGGAGAGUUUACGUCACAGACUUUUGACGAUUAUUGCAUGUCAGUAGGGAUUGAUGUGGAACAUCCUGUACCCCAUGUUCAAACCCAAAACAGCCUGGUAGAAGCUUUCAUAAAGCGCCUUCAAUUGAUAGCUCAGACUUUGGUUAUGAGAACCAAACUGUCGGUAUCUUCCUAGGGCUAUGCAAUAUUGCACGCAGCUAUAUUGGUCCGCCUCAGGCCCAUCGCUACUCAACCACAUUCACCAUUACAGUUGGUCACUGGAUACGAGCCUGACGUCUCUCAUUUACGGGUGUUUAGGUGCACCAUUUAUGUGCCAAUAACGCCGUCGCUACAAAAUGGGUCCUUAGAGAAAAAUGGAAUCUAUGUCGAUUAUGAUUCACCAUCAAUUGUUUGCUACUUAGAACCUUUAACAGAAGAUCUCUUUACCACACGUUUUGCGGAUUGUCACUUUGAUGGGCCAGUCUUCCCGUCAUUAAGGGAGAUAAGCAUGUUAACGUUCCCGUAGAAUGCCACGAAUUGUCGUGGUAUGCUCCCACUAUGUCUCAUUUGAAUCUUCGCACUGCCAAUGCGAUGUUGGGAAAGAAGAAAAUGCAGGUCUGCAACAAAUUCAAGAAAUACAGAAUUAUAUAAAUAUUGGAAACAUAGAAAUAUAUAAUAGCAAUAAUAAAAAAUUAAACAGCAAUAUAUAAAUGGAAAAAUGAGAAUAAAAGAAAAAAUAAAAGAACAAUAACCAUGAUCAGAAAUCGAAAUCGAAAUCGAAAACAAGAGGCAGUUUGCUUUGUCCUUGAAGAUUGAUUGAAUGAGUGGAACAAGUGGGGUGGAGGUUUUGAGAGCAGCAAUGUCAAGACGAGAGGCGGUUACCAAAAUUGUAGGGCGUUAGAAAGCCGUUGGCAUUCAACGCGAAAGUUGAGGAAAUGUCCGUCUCAUCCAACGCCUCACGGCACCUCUCCUUGCUUUCUGCCUUUUGAAACGGGAGAAGGAAAGGGGAACCGGGAGAGCCAUGCGUGCGGGAGAGAGAUGGGGUCGAAUCCUUCAUUGUUUGCACGAUAUGCCGCGAGAACGGGGGUGCUACUACUUCUAUAUGCAUCCAAGUUCCAAAAAAACAAAUAUUCUUUUAAUUUCCGCACUUAUAUUGCACGGGCACAUGGUACCGUUAUACUUAUAUUAGGCGAUAGAAUUUAGAGCUCGUAACGAUUUUGCUAUCCUAUGGUCUAUGAGGACGACGCGUUUUCUAAAGGGCUCCUGAGAAACGAGUUCGACAUUAGUUUAUUCGCUCAUCUUAAUACUGUUGAUAAUUAAAAUAUCUUUCUAGAGAAAUAUGAUUUAAAUUUGAAUGGUUUAUUUUUUCCAAUAUACUUUUUUGUUUUACAAAUACAAAAUUAAUACGUUUAAAAUGUGUUUGGUCUUGUGUUUCAGAACAAUAUAUUAUAAAAACGAAAACUUAGGAUAUCAAUAUGACAUUAAAUUGGGCUACAAUUCCAUUCGAAAUAAGAUGACAGGAUUCGAUGCUGCACCAUCUUCAACCCCCCUUACUAUGAAGCGUACUAGUAAAAUGGUUUGAUUUAGGUGGUUUUCACAUAUGCAAAAUAAAAAAACAAAUUAAUUACACUUGGUUUGGUAACUAGUUAAUCAAAUAUUACAAUUUUUAAAAUCAAAUUAUUAUUAUUAUUAUUAUUUUCGGAAUAUAGUUCCAAGUCUUUCCCCGCUUUCUAUUAAAUUAACCCCUUUCAACCUUUCGACAGUUUUUGGCUAACACUGCAAUAGUAUUUUGUACCUUUGCUUAGAUUUCCCUGAUCUAGUAGUAUCAAUUUUCUUCUUAUGUCCUGCAAUAUUUUAAGGGAGCUUUAACGAAAAGUUUCCGGUAUUGUUCAUUUUAACGAAAAACCACAUUUUUACACUAAAAAGUCAAUCAUGGUACUAUUCAUUUUACCCUUUAUUUUGUCCUUAUCGUUAAAACUUAAAGUUUUCAAGUCUUUUUCAUUAGUUUUCCUAUAUUUUAACUGAUGCACUUACUUAUACACUUCCUUUUAGAGCAAAGAUUUUUUUAUGUACCCAAAACACAAGAUGGUAUACUACAUAUCUUAAUAUAAGGACGAUCGAUUUUAUAAUCCACUUUGAUUAUAACACAUAGUAUAUCAUCUUGUGUUCAAGUAGACAAAAAAAUUCUCACAAUAGAAAUAGCUAUACUAUUGUAUGUGAAUCCCCUAAAUUAGACGUUGUCUCAGUUUUGUAUAUGUCCAAAUACUUUUAAUAUUUCGUUCCCGUUUGUACAUGUUGCUGAACCAUAGUAUCCCACCUUUCCAACGAAGACCAAUAUUCAAAGGAACGGGAAUAUCACCUGUUUAUAUAUGCAAAUUAAUGAAAUUUAAAAAAGAUUCGGUCAUGAAAACCACUCUCAAAGUACAUAUAUAUAUAUAUAUAUAUAUAUAUAUAUAUAUAUAUAUAACAAUAGACAAGAAGGGAAAGAUCGAUCACAUACAUUCGUAUUUUUUUUUUGUUUUCUUUUUUCAUUCCCUAUUAAUUAUUAUCACUGGUAAAUGUUAAGUACGUGGGAAUAGCAGAAAUGCAGAAGCCAUUAAAGUUGGUACCAGCAGAACAUGUGUAAGCCCAAAUGUUAUGAAACACGAGAUAAUCAUUUAACUUCAGUCCGGGCAGUUUGUAGUCAGAAUGGGCUUCACCAACCACGUCUCUCUUAUCUGUAAAAUGGGGGACACUUUGGAUGUAGUAAUUGACAUUAAUGUAAUAGUGUAAGUUAUUAUAUUUUUUAAAUUAAAAAUUAAAAAUUGAAAUUUGUAUCUAUUUAUAUUAAUGUGAUUUUAAAUAUAACCCAUAAUUUGUGGGAUUAAAAAUAAUAAAAUAUAAAUUAUACUCUCUAUUAUAUUGUAUGUGUGUGGUACACACACACACAUGGGUACAUUCAUCAAAAUUAACAAAAAAAAAUUAUUGUACCAAAACAUGGAUACAUUCUUCAAAACACAAAAAAAAAAAAAAAAAAAGAUAUUAGGCUUAAUAACAUUAGGAAAUUUCUUUUAUUAAACUUGGCAUAUCCAACCAACCAACAUGCGGACCAUUUAGAUACUUUAUGGUGUUGGUUGAUGCAUCGACAAGAUUGGCACAUGUUUGUUUGUUGUCCACACGCAACGCCGCAUUUGCUAAAACUCCUAACUUAAAUCAUUAAGCUAAGGGCUCACCUCCCUGAUUAUCCGAUUAAGUCGAUUCGACUGGAUAACGUUGGAGAGUUUACAUCACAGACUUUUGACGAUUAUUGCAUGUCAGUAGGGAUUGAUGUGGAACAUCCUGUACCCCAUGUUCACACCCAAAACGGCCUGGUAGAAGCUUUCAUAAAGCGCCUUCAAUUGAUAGCUCAGACUUUGGUUAUGAGAACCAAACUGCUGGUAUCUGCCUAGGGCUAUGCAAUAUUGCAUGCAGCUAUGUUGGUCCGCCUAAGGCCCAUCGUUACUCAACCACAUUCACCAUUAUAGUUGGUCACUGGAUACGAGCCUGACGUCUCUCAUUUACGGGUGUUUGGGUGCACCAUUUAUGUGCCAAUAGCGCCGUCGCUACAAAAUGGGUCUUUAGAGAAAAAUGGGAAUCUAUGUCAAUUAUGAUUCACCAUCAAUUGUUUGCUACUUAGAACCCUUAACAGGAGAUCUCUUUACCACACGUUUUGCGGAUUGUCACUUUGAUGAGCCAGUCUUCCCGUCAUUAAGGGAGAUAAGCAUGCUAACGUUCCCGUAGAAUGCCACGAAUUGUCGUGGUAU
rnacentral:lncRNA from 1 species